UACGAACUGUGCAAACGUUAUUCGGAAUCACUGGGCUUAAAGGGUGCGUAGGCGGCUCGUUAGGUAGGGUGUGAAAGCCCCCGGCUCAACCGGGGAAUUGCGCCCUAAACCGGCGGGCUGGAGUGAGAUAGGGGUGUGUGGAACUUCCGGUGGAGCGGUGAAAUGUGUUGAUAUCGGAAGGAACGUCGGCGGCGAAAGCGAUGCACUGGUUGGUUACUGACGCUGAGGUGCGAAAGCCAGGGGAGCAAACGGG
rnacentral:rRNA from 1 species